rnacentral:lncRNA from 10 species
UAUCAGAAUUAGCCAAUUUCUCCAAGGAGCUCCCUUUCCUUUGAUUGGAGAAUGGCAUAGAAACCAAGAUCUCUGGAUGAAGCAGGCAGUGUGAAAGACAGCAGAUCUCACAUCUACCAUGCUCACUCUAAGGACAAGUGAGAAUUAAAAGACCAGCUGGACCUGUACAUGCUGAACCUCUAAACGGAACUGAGAUACACAGACCCUUCAAUAUGGUCAGCUUUUCCCCAUGUUCUGGCGGAGAGAAAUACCAAGGCCUUUGGAGAUUGAAUGGUCAAUCUUGAACUAAUCAAAGCCUAGCUGUUUAAAACAAGGGAUCUAAACUUUCCCUAACUUGAUUAACAUUUCUCUCUAUCCAAAUAUGAAAAAUGGGCCCAUUUAUUAUUUAUGGUCUUCCCAUCUGAUAUUUCACCUGCUGCCAACACAGCUAAGCCCAGCCAAGUUUCGUCCAUGGCUGGCCUGCAGGCAGAUGAUCCCAGCAAAGCAGAAUUACACCCAGGGAAGCAGAUGGGUGACCUUUCUCUCGCCUGCUCUCCAGACUAGAGAACAGAUAGCCAAACUCUUUGGGUGGCCCAGGCCCUUUGCUUCUAUAAAUUAAAAUACAUAUUUUCUGACUGAUGGUCUGUUUCUCAGAAACAUCGAUCACACAUUCAUCAAAUACCAUCUUUCAUGCAUUAUGGCAGAGCAGCCAGUUUUUCUAUCUGAAAUCCCUAACGUGAUACCCGUUCCCUCCUAGCCGACCUUCCCUAAAAAUAACUUAGUGUGAACUUUUUUCAUUGCUUCUUUUUCCUCCUUCUUUGCAGCCAUGUGUUUGAAAUGUGUUUAAGAUAUUGUCACAUUUCACAUUUUAAAUAUCAUGAGGACAGGCCAAUUCUAUGAUAUUUUAAGUGCCCUCAUUAUGAAACAUAUGGCCAGAGGGGUGGAGACGGGGAGGUGGGGAAAGAAAUAUGGCAAAUGUAAUAUUUUCCCAAGGGGGGGUGGGGAACAUGACCUGCAAGAUGCAAGAAUCUAUGUGUGCCACUACUGAAAUACCAUCUGUUUCCAUUCAAAUUAUCAUCUUGAAAUUAUGACUUUUUUGCAUAUGCCAUAAUGUAUAGGAUUCAAGGGCCAAAACACAUCAUAGUGUUUGCAGUCAACUGAUCCAGUUGCUGUUAA